CGCUUCUCGCUGGAGUGCGCACCGAGCGGCAGUGACUUCGCCGCUGCUGUAGUUCCCCGGCUGGAUGCGGUGACUGGUGCCAGUGCUCAGGCGCCCGCUGCCCUUGACCUCCCGCCCCGCGAGCCCUAACUCAGCGCAGGAGGACCGGCUGCCGCCGCCGCCGCCGCCAGAGCCUUGGCUGCCCAGUUGCCAGUCCUACCACGGUCGGAGGUAACCUUCCUGGCUCCAGUCACAUGGCCAGAUAAGGUGGUGUGUGUGGGCAUGAAUUAUGUGGACCACUGCAAAGAACAGAACGUGCCCGUGCCCAAGGAGCCCAUCAUCUUCAGCAAGUUUGCCAGCUCCAUCGUGGGGCCCUAUGAUGAGGUGGUCCUCCCACCACAGAGCCAGGAGGUAGAUUGGGAAGUGGAGCUGGCCGUGGUCAUUGGAAAGAAAGGCAAGCACAUCAAGGUGAAGUGGAAAAGGUGGGCUCCCAGGCCAGAGUGCAGCAGAGUCCCCAGCUCCUGCCUCUCCUAGUUCUGACCUCGCUCACCAACACAUGGUGCCAGCUGUCCCUGACACUAGGAAGCAGUCAGCCUCCUUGCUCCCUGACACUGCCUUUCCCUUCACCCACCUUUGGCUGGCUCUGGCUACUAACAUGGGAUAACAGCUUUGAGAUCCCUUGCCACAGGUGUUGGUGUCACCCAUGAUCUAUCCUCCUGUAUGGCCAAAUCCCCUGCCCCCAUAGGCCACAGAUGCCAUGGCCCACGUGGCCGGCUUCACUGUGGCUCAUGACGUGAGUGCUCGUGACUGGCUAACAAGAUGCAAUGGGAAACAGUGGCUGCUGGGAAAAACCUUCGACACCUUCUGCCCUCUGGGCCCUGCCUUGGUGACCAAGGACAGUGUAGCAGAUCCACACAACUUAAAGAUCUGCUGUCGAGUGAAUGGGGAAGUGGUCCAGAGCAGCAACACCAACCAGAUGGUAUUCAAGACAGAGGACCUGAUAGCCUGGGUGUCCCAGUUUGUUACCUUUUACCCAGGGGAUGUCAUCCUGACUGGGACCCCCCCACCUCCACCCAGGUGUCGGUGUAUUCAGGAAACCUCCUGUCUUUCUCAAGAAGGGGGAUGAAGUCCAGUGUGAGAUUGAAGAACUAGGUGUCAUCAUCAACAAGGUGGUGUGAUGGCUCCUGCACAGGCCCUGCACAUAGGAUGAGGGCAUCUGCUCCCACUCAGCCUAGCCCAGGGAAAGGCCCAGUGACAGGUGUGGACAGGUGCCAGCCCUGCAAGCCGCCUCUUCUCGGUAGAAGGGAGAAGGACAGAGCUCUCUUCAAUAAAUUCGUCGGGUCAAAGCAGCA
rnacentral:lncRNA from 1 species